UGUUAUGAAUCAAACUCAGAAACGUGUC
rnacentral:sRNA from 1 species